AGGUUUGACUGCCCUUGUCUAGAAAGUGACAGUGACAGUAACAGUGCCAGCCUCUCAGGGUUGCUGGAAGAUUAAAUGAGAUGCCAUGUGCAGUAUGCCAGACAGAUGGCAGGUAUAAAAAUAGGACUCUCCGUUCAUCCUUGAUAAGGCCGUCUGGCUACAUCCCCCAGCUCUCCUGUGUCUCAGAAUCUUGUAUAGUUACCAGUUCUCGCUGGCACCUAGGCAGGACUCAAAAAAUGCCUACGGUGUGACUGGCUGAAUGAAGAGGCAUCGGCUUUAGUGGAAACAGGGACGCCUUCCACCCCGCUCCUGGCUUCACUCCUCUCCCCUGGUGUCUGAGCCCACUUUCCUUCCCUGAAACACCUCCUCCUCUGUUCUACUCACAUCCUCCUGCUCUUCCAGCCCAGCUGCAGACCCACCUCUUCCAAGAAGCCUUUGUUCUUUCUGAUGCAAAAGACUGCUUUUGGGUUCCAUA